GACGUCUGUGCUUGUUGAGCAGCCAUUUUGGAAGUUUGUGGAAGGCAGAUAUUUUAUGAUAGCAUUUGUUGUCCUGUUGUGAUAUUUUUCACAAUGACUGCCCACGAUCAAAUUAGGGCUAUGCUUGAUGAGCUAAUGGGCACAUCUAGAGAUGGAGAAAAAGACAGGUAUCGGGUGAAGUUUGACGACCCUCGGGUAUGUAAGAGCUUCCUGCUUGGCUGCUGUCCCCAUGAUAUCCUUGCGAGUACGAGGAUGGACUUGGGUGAGUGUUCGAGGAUCCACGACUUGGCUCUCAGGGCCGAUUAUGAGCAAGCAGCCAGAAACAAGGAUUACUUCUACGACAUUGAUGCCAUGGAGCAUCUGCUGAGUUUCAUUGGAGAGUGUGACCGCAAGACAGAGCUUGCUAAGAGACGUUUGAAGGAAACCCAAGAAGAGCUUAGUGAGGAGGCCAAUGCUAAGGCUGAAAUGAUUCACCAGCUUGGUGAACAGAUGGGUACAAAACUGGCAAAGGCUGAGCUGGCUGGGGCACAAGGAUUGGUAGAGGAAUCACUCAAGCUGAUGAAGGAAGUUGAAGAUCUCAAAGUGAAGAAAAGUCUGGCAGAGACUGAUUUUCGCAACUCCAUGCCAGCGUCUAGCUAUCAACAACAGAAACUGCGUGUUUGUGAAGUCUGUGGUGCCUAUCUUGGUAUCCAUGACAAUGAUCGGCGUUUGGCUGAUCACUUUGGUGGCAAGCUGCAUCUUGGUUUUAUCACCAUCAGAGAAAAACUGGAAGACUUGAAGCAACUAGUAGCAGAUAGAAAGAGUCAGAGAGAUAAAGAGCGUGAGGAGAUGAGAAAGGAGAGAGAUGAGCGUCUUGCUGUCCGAGAAAAGGAAGAGGAGAUUCACCGAAGCAGCAAAGCCAAGACGAGAAGUCGUAGUAGAGAAAAACGUCGCAGAAGUAGAAGUCGAAGUAGGAGGUCAAGAUCCCGGUCAAGAGACAGACGGUCAAAAAAGCACUCGAGGCGAUCUAGGUCUCGCUCUAGAAGAUCACGGUCGAGAUCAAGGCGCAGAUUAGUUCACUUAUCCUGACAUCUUAAACUUGGAACAUAAUCCUCUGAAUCAAAAGUAGGGUUGGCUGUGACGGUCGCGGUCCAGAUCUCAUUCUCGGCGAUCACGAAGUCGAAGAUCAAGAUCCCAGAGCCGGACAAAGAGGUCACGGUCACGUAGUAGAACUAAACGGUCGAGAUCGCGUGAUCGGUCCAGUCGAAAGACCAAGA
rnacentral:misc_RNA from 1 species